UACGAAGGGGGCUAGCGUUGUUCGGAAUUACUGGGCGUAAAGCGUGCGCAGGCGGUUUUGUAAGUCUGUCGUGAAAUCCCCGGGCUCAACCUGGGAAUUGCGAUGGAGACUGCAAGGCUAGAAUCUGGCAGAGGGGGGUAGAAUUCCACGUGUAGCAGUGAAAUGCGUAGAGAUGUGGAGGAACACCGAUGGCGAAGGCAGCCCCCUGGGUCAAGAUUGACGCUCAUGCACGAAAGCGUGGGGAGCAAACAGG
rnacentral:rRNA from 1 species